rnacentral:lncRNA from 1 species
UUUCUUUUAUCAUCUGUCCUGUGUAAGAUCUAUUCCUCUUCUCUUCCGUCUUCAGUUGUUCUUCUUUGAUUAAACUUAUCAAUCUCUUGUUAUCACUUUCAAAGUAAACCCUUCUGAAGCCACAAUCUUUUGCAAGCCUCAUCGUACUAAUAAGGGCGUGAGCUUCCGCCAUAAGCGUAUCUUCUCCACCAUUGACCUUCCAAGUAGCGGCGGCCAUGACUAAACCCUCCUCAUCACGUAUAAUUGCACCAAUUCCCCAACUACCUGCAUAUUUAAGGUUAGCAUCUCCAUUAGCUUUGACAAACCCUGUUUCCGGACGUCGCCAUUUCGUCGAAUUGUUAUGGGUAGUACAAGCCGUCGAAUUGUUAUGGGUAGUAGAAGCGUUGGAGCUACGGGUCAUGGAAUCAGCUUGUCCUGGAUCAGUUUUGGUCGCAGCUUUGUACUCUUGAAUGCUAUGCUCAGCACGAAGGAUGAUAUCUUCUUCAGGUAAAGUUUUGUUUUCGAAAAUGCUAAGAUUUCUCGAGAACCAUAUACUAUAUAUAAUAGCAGCUGUUUGAAUUAUGAUUUGUUCAUCCUCAUGAAGAAUAAAAUCAAAUAACCAAUUAACGAAAUUUGGGUUGGGUUGAUCUGGGAAUUUAAUAGUGAGGGAAGAACCAAACCACGUUCUGAGGAUGUUAGGACAAGUCAUAAACGUAUGGGUAAUGGUUUCCAUUUUGGAGUUGCACCUAGGGCAUAAAAUCGAGCAAUGAAUACCCCUUUUGUUAAGCUCACUUCUGACCGGAAGAGAGUUAUGGAGAAUUCUCCAGAGAAUAACUUUAUGUCUGGGAAUAGUAUGAAGUUUCCAAAGUUUUUUCCACACAGUUGUUUCAGAACUACAAUUAGGUGUAGUAUUAUGCUUUUGUUGUAUUUGCCAGCUUCUAAUGGCUUGAUAACCACUCUUCACUGAAUAAAUCCCAUUUAAUUCAUACAUCCACAUAAGCUCAUCUUGAUUGGUGGUGUUAAUGAUAGGAAUUUGUUCAAUGUGGUUUUGGUCUAAAGAUAUGAAUUGGGAUCUGAUCAUAUCUGUAUCCCAUCUAAGAGUGUCUCUGAUAAUAAGUUCUUUGACUAGUCUAUUAGAAUCUUGAGUCGUGUCAGGGGUAAGAAUUUUAAAGUUGUGAUUUGUAGGAAUCCAGUUAUCGAAACAGAGGGAGUAUUGAAUGCAUUUAUUGUUAUUUUUUCCUCUAAAUGUAUCCUUAUUUAAUAUUAUUACUAACUUAUAUUGAAAUAUGAAAAGUCAAAAAUACACAUAAUAACAAAAGACAAUUUAAUAAUAUUCACACACAUUAAUUACACUACUAACUUUUUUUAAAUGUGAAAUUUAUCAAAGAGGCUUGUAAUAAAGUGGAUUUAGAUUCUCUCCAUUAAAAAUUUUCUCAAAAUUCACUAACCACUCCCGUGUGCGCGAGUUUUGCUACUAUGUUUUACUAGCGUCCCGUGCCCCCUCUAAAUAAAAGUGAUAGGUUCAAAAAGAAAAUGUUACUUUCAAAUGCUAGUGAAUAAAAAUAUACAAAUAGAUAGUAAGAGAAUAAGAAAGGUUUAGAACGCACCCUAAUUGCUAUUUAUUAAUACAAAUAGUUUUAAACAUAAGAUAAUAGACAUAUCUCUCACUUAACACACUUCAUAUUAUCUUUUUUGAUGGUGUCCGAGAUUCGAACCUCAGACCUUGCAUAUAUUAUGCAUUGUUCUUAUUAACCGAGCUAAUCUCAUAGGAACAAACUUUAUAUUAUCUAAAGAUGCAUAAAAAGUGUAAAAAUGCAAAAGAAGGUUAAAAAAAAAACUUAAAUAUAUUAUAAGAAUAGAUAAACACUAUUCAUUAAAACAAUUACAAUAUAUUUAAAAUAGAGUACUUAAUAAACUAAGAAAUAGAAAUAAAACAAAAUCUUAAUAUUUUGAACUCAGCAUCUGAACUUCCAUAUAUGAUCUUUUGCUUGUUCUUCUUCAAGUUAUUCUAGAGCGUCUAGUGACAUAGCUCGAUCUUCAUCUUCUUGACCAUAUCAAGAAGAGUAACUUCAGAAACCUUCACAACCUUGAAUCACAUUGGGAAUGCUACUUAGAGUUUCAAGGUUGGAAAGACCUGACAUUCUCAGUGUGAUUCAAGGUUAUUAGUUUAAACAACCAUCAUCUGGCACAAAGACAACAAUUUUCUUUCCAUUCUUGAUGAGUUGAACCCUAACACCUUUGCGAAUAGCAGAAUUGGGUUGUUUUAAUUCAUCUCAAAAAAUAAUUUGUUUUACUUUUGAAUGUAAAAGAAGUCAAUUUUUACUUUAAAUUUAAACCAUCUAAUUCUAAGUUCUAACGUUAGAUCAUUGUUGUAUAUGGUCGAUAUCGGUUAUUUUCAUCUUUUUCUCUUAUCUCUCACUCAGAUUGGGUUAUGGUUCAGUUUUACAUAUUCAGAGAUCAUUGAUUGUUUGAUUGAAUCAUACAAUUCGGAGUUCAACGUAAGUAAUUUUAGUUUUUUUAAAAAAAAUAGUUUUUGUUUUUCCUCAAUUCAUAUAUGAAUGAGUGAGAUCAUACAAUUCACACCUGAUCCUUUUUUGUUUUCCCUUUCUUCUUAAUAUUGGUUGAGGU